rnacentral:rRNA from 1 species
AGAGUUUGAUCCUGGCUCAGGAUGAACGCUGGCGGCGUGCCUAAUACAUGCAAGUCGAACGCUUCACAUCGGUGAAGAGUGGCGAACGGGUGAGUAAUACAUAAGUAACCUGGCAUCUACAGGGGGAUAACUGAUGGAAACGUCAGCUAAGACCGCAUAGGUGUAGAGAUCGCAUGAACUCUAUAUGAAAAGUGCUACGGGACUGGUAGAUGAUGGACUUAUGGCGCAUUAGCUUGUUGGUAGGGUAACGGCCUACCAAGGCGACGAUGCGUAGCCGACCUGAGAGGGUGAUCGGCCACACUGGGACUGAGACACGGCCCAGACUCCUACGGGAGGCAGCAGUAGGGAAUUUUCGGCAAUGGGGGAAACCCUGACCGAGCAACGCCGCGUGAAGGAAGAAGGAAUUCGUUUCGUAAACUUCUGUUAUAAAGGAAGAAAGGGAUGUAUAGGGAAUGAUACAUCUAAGACGGUACUUUAUGAGGAAGCCACGGCUAACUACGUGCCAGCAGCCGCGGUAAUACGUAGGUGGCAAGCGUUAUCCGGAAUUAUUGGGCGUAAAGAGAGAGCAGGCGGUUAUUCAAGUCUGAAGUGAAAAGCAGUGGCUUAACCAUUGUAGGCUUUGGAAACUAGAUAGCUAGAGUGCAAGAGAGGUUAGCGGAACUCCAUGUGUAGCGGUGAAAUGCGUAGAUAUAUGGAGGAACACCAGUGGCGAAGGCGGCUAACUAGCUUGAAACUGACGCUCAGUCUCGAAAGCGUGGGUAGCAAAUAGGAUUAGAUACCCUAGUAGUCCACGCUGUAAACGAUGAGUACUAG